GGUUUCCUACGGGGCGCAGCAGUGGGGAAUAUUGGGCAAUGGGCGCAAGCCUGACCCAGCAACGCCGCGUGAAGGAAGAAGGCUUUCGGGUUGUAAACUUCUUUUCUCAGGGACGAAGAAAGUGACGGUACCUGAGGAAUAAGCCACGGCUAACUACGUGCCAGCAGCCGCGGUAAUACGUAGGUGGCAAGCGUUAUCCGGAUUUACUGGGUGUAAAGGGCGUGUAGGCGGGAAAGCCAGUCAGAUGUGAAAACCACGG
rnacentral:rRNA from 1 species